rnacentral:tRNA from 1 species
GGCUCGUUGGUCUAGGGGUAUGAUUCUCGCUUUGGGUGCGAGACCUCUCGGGUUCAAAUCCCGGACGAGCCC